rnacentral:rRNA from 1 species
UACGGGGGGGGCAAGCGUUGUUCGGAAUUACUGGGCGUAAAGGGCGCGUAGGCGGUCACGACAAGUCAGUUGUGAAAUCUCCGGGCUUAACUCGGAACGGUCAACUGAUACUGUCGGACUAGAGUGCAGAAGGGGCAACUGGAAUUCUCGGUGUAGCGGUGAAAUGCGUAGAUAUCGAGAGGAACACCUGCGGCGAAGGCGGGUUGCUGGGCUGACACUGACGCUGAGGCGCGAAAGCUAGGGGAGCGAACGGG